UAGGGAAUCUUCGGCAAUGGGGGGAACCCUGACCGAGCAACGCCGCGUGAGUGAAGAAGGUUUUCGGAUCGUAAAGCUCUGUUGUUAAGGAAGAACGAGUGUGAGAAUGGAAUGUUCAUACUGUGACGGUACUUAACCAGAAAGGGACGGCUAACUACGUGCCAGCAGCCGCGGUAAUACGUAGGUCCCGAGCGUUGUCCGGAUUUAUUGGGCGUAAAGCGAGCGCAGGCGGUUAGAUAAGUCUGAAGUUAAAGGCAGUGGCUCAACCAUUGUAGGCUUUGGAAACUGUUUAACUUGAGUGCAGAAGGGGGGAGUGGAAUUCCAUGUGUAGCGGUGAAAUGCGUAGAUAUAUGGAGGAACACCGGUGGCGAAAGCGGCUCUCUGGUCUGUAACUGACGCUGAGGCUCGAAAGCGUGGGGAGCGAACAGG
rnacentral:rRNA from 1 species